UGGGGAAUUUUGGACAAUGGGCGAAAGCCUGAUCCAGCAAUGCCGCGUGUGUGAAGAAGGCCUUCGGGUUGUAAAGCACUUUUGUCCGGAAAGAAAUCCUUGGCUCUAAUACAGUCGGGGGAUGACGGUACCGGAAGAAUAAGCACCGGCUAACUACGUGCCAGCAGCCGCGGUAAUACGUAGGGUGCAAGCGUUAAUCGGAAUUACUGGGCGUAAAGCGUGCGCAGGCGGUUUGCUAAGACCGAUGUGAAAUCCCCGGGCUCAACCUGGGAACUGCAUUGGUGACUGGCAGGCUAGAGUAUGGCAGAGGGGGGUAGAAUUCCACGUGUAGCAGUGAAAUGCGUAGAGAUGUGGAGGAAUACCGAUGGCGAAGGCAGCCCCCUGGGCCAAUACUGACGCUCAUGCACGAAAGCGUGGGGAGCAAACAGGAUUAGAUACCCUGGUAGUCCACGCCCUAAACGAUGUCAACUAGUUGUUGGGGAUUCAUUUCCUUAGUAACGUAGCUAACGCGUGAAGUUGACCGCCUGGGGAGUACGGUCGCAAGAUUAAAACUCAAAGGAAUUUGACGGGGUCC
rnacentral:rRNA from 1 species